rnacentral:tRNA from 2 species
GCUGAUGUAGCUCAGUGGCAGAGCACUCCCUUGGUAAGGGAGAGGUCGAGGGUUCAAGCCCCUCCAUCAGCU